rnacentral:rRNA from 1 species
UACGUAGGGACCAAGCGUUGUUCGGAUUUACUGGGCGUAAAGGGUGCGUAGGUGGCGCUGUAAGUCGGGUGUGAAAUUUCGGAGCUUAACUCCGAAACUGCAUUCGAUACUGCGGUGCUUGAGGACUGGAGAGGAGACUGGAAUUCAUGGUGUAGCAGUGAAAUGCGUAGAGAUCAUGAGGAAGACCAGUGGCGAAGGCGGGUCUCUGGACAGUUCCUGACACUGAGGCACGAAGGCCAGGGGAGCAAACGGG